GUGGGGAAUAUUGGGCAAUGGGCGAAAGCCUGACCCAGCAACGCCGCGUGAGGGAAGAAGGUUUUCGGAUCGUAAACCUCUGUCCUUAGUGAAGAGUAAGAGACGGUAGCUAAGGAGGAAGCCCCGGCUAACUACGUGCCAGCAGCCGCGGUAAUACGUAGGGGGCGAGCGUUGUCAGGAAUGAUUGGGCGUAAAGGGCGCGUAGGCGGCCUGUUAAGUCCGGGGUGAAAUUCCUGCUUUCAAGGUAGGAAGUGCUUUGGAAACUGGCGGGCUGGAGUGCAGGAGAGGUUAGCGGAAUUCCCGGUGUAGCGGUGAAAUGCGUAGAGAUCGAGAGGAACACCAGUGGCGAAGGCGGCUAACUGGACUGUAACUGACGCUGAGGCGCGAAAGUGUGGGGAGCAAACAGGAUUAGAAACCCCAGUAGUCC
rnacentral:rRNA from 1 species